rnacentral:lncRNA from 1 species
CUACCAUUUUGGCCCACCUGCAACCCCUGUCCCCCGCCCCCCUGAGCUGCGAGCUGAGGAGGCCCCUUGGCUGUUCCCACAAAGGGCCGGGGGGCGCAUUUUCUCUCCUGCCAGCCAGCUCCAUCCUGGUCGUUUAUUCCCGGCCUUCCCUCAUCCCCCACCCCCACAGCCUGCUGUAUGUAAAUAGGGAAAUAGAUCUACACGGACACAAUAAUUUAGCUUGGUUGGUCUUUGGCAUUUUCUACAAGACCCCAAGAGAUGGACUUUCCUCUCCCCUUCCUCCUUUUAGAAAUGGCAUCCUUCAUCUCUGUCUAUGCAGGCCCAAUUAUCCAGAUCCUCGGGGCUCCAAUAGGGUCUGAGUCAUUGGAACCAGGAACACCUGGCUGAAACAUGCCACAUAAUUAGAUUUUCUUUUUCUUUACCUUUUCUUUCUUAUUUUUAUAAGAGGCCCGGAAUUAGCCUCUUCGACUGGGGCGGAGUAGCUGGGGUGUGGGAAAGCAACACCUUCAUACAACUUCCAGCUUUCAGCCCCUUGGAGGGAUUUCCAAAUUCCCCUGAGCCGCUAGCACUUCCUUUCCUCGAUCUCAUGGCCACCUCCUCCUCCUCCGAUCUUUUUUUUUCCCACCUCCCACUGUCUUCUCUACGGUUUAAUCAAAGUUCAGCGACUCCACUUGCCUCUCCUCUCAUUUCUUUCGGAAAGCGGAAACCAGAUGACCCAGCGGCCACUGGACGAGUCGCCCCAACUCAACCCCAGCAGGACGCUGGAGGGGCCUCCCUUGUCCACCUCUCUUCACUGGCACUGGCCUCCUGCACCCAGGUCUGCAGUCCCUCCGUCAUUUCACAGUUUGGAGACCAGCCGAUUUUUCAUGAAGCAAGCAAAGACUGCAGUCCUGGAUCCUGCAACAUAUACCUCAUUUUCUCCAGGCCUCUCCACUUGCCCGAGCUCUCAGCCACCAGGAGACAGAUGGAAGGGGCUUCUGGGCUGCGUUGGGAGCGGGUGCUGUCCCCUACCCACUCCUGCACAGUUUCCCAAAGUCCAGCGACCUCCGACCCUCCUUGGGGUAAAAAUACCAGUACCGAGACACCUCUGCACCCUGUUAUAUGACUGGGCUUGCUUGAGGAAUAUCUUACAAAGAAGAAGAAGAAGAAGGAGGAGGAACGGCUUGGAGUCAUGAUUACAUCUAGUUCUACUGAUCCGUUCACAUCUGGAGAGUUUAUUUAUAACUCCCUCUAUAACUCUCUGUUUGGAGGCACUGGUGGCUCUACUGACACACUGAUGUCUAGGAAAUAUUGCUCUAUGUCUAACGUACCUAAAUGUGAUGUGGUUGUAUUUAGAGAUUUACGUUUGAGGGAAAUAUAAUUAUUUCCAUUGUAUUUGUGCAUAUACAGUAGUUAUAGGAGCAGAUUUAUAUAUGGGAAAAUAUACAACUCUCUUACAGCCAUCCGGCUUUAUGUACAUUUGAUAUCCUGACCGAUUUAUAUCUCUGAAC